rnacentral:rRNA from 1 species
UACGUAGGGUGCGAGCGUUAAUCGGAAUUACUGGGCGUAAAGGGCGCGUAGGCGGCGUGUCAAGUCAGGCGUGAAAGCCCCGGGCUCAACCUGGGAACCGCGCUUGAGACUGGCACGCUAGAGUUCGGGAGAGGAUGGUGGAAUUCCCAGUGUAGAGGUGAAAUGCGCAGAUAUCAGGAGGAACACCAAUGGCGAAGGCAGCUCGCUGGAACGGUACUGACGCUGAGGCGCGAAAGCGUGGGGAGCAAACAGG